rnacentral:sRNA from 1 species
GCCGGGGUCUUUGGGGAGUAGCCCGCCGGUAGCGCAAUGCGCCGGGGCAUGCGUCAACACACUUGGGUUUCUUGAAAACCUAUGGCGUAUGCGGCUUGAAUGCUGGGCGAGACCAUUGACUGCAUGCCGAUCCAAUGGCCGGAGUCGGGGUGCAGUCAAUGCGCGUCUCAACCAAUCCGGCC